UACGGAGGGGGCUAGCGUUGUUCGGAAUUACUGGGCGUAAAGCGCACGUAGGCGGCUUUGUAAGUUAGAGGUGAAAGCCCGGGGCUCAACUCCGGAAUUGCCUUUAAGACUGCAUCGCUAGAAUUGUGGAGAGGUAAGUGGAAUUCCGAGUGUAGAGGUGAAAUUCGUAGAUAUUCGGAAGAACACCAGUGGCGAAGGCGGCGAUCUGGGAAGAUACUGACGCUGAGGUGCGAAAGCGUGGGGAGCAAACGGG
rnacentral:rRNA from 1 species